UGCCGACUUAGCUCAGCUGGCAGAGCACUUCACUAGUAAUGAAGGGGUCGCUGGUUCGAAUCCAGUAGUCGGCAU
rnacentral:tRNA from 6 species